GUCUUCUAUUUUCCCUUUGAUUUCCUGAUUAGCCAUUUGAAUCCUAGCAACACUCAUCUCCAACUCAGUCUUCUCUGCAUGCAGCUGAUCUCUAGCCUUCUUCAACUCAAGGAACUCCUCUAUACUGACAGAAGAACGGGAUUCCUCAAUCAGCGGAUACCAAAGAUCACCCACAGGAAAUGGUAGACGAGUAAGCUCAAC
rnacentral:lncRNA from 1 species